CCUACGGGCGGCAGCAGUGGGGAAUAUUGCACAAUGGGCGCAAGCCUGAUGCAGCCAUGCCGCGUGUGUGAAGAAGGCCUUCGGGUUGUAAAGCACUUUCAGCGGGGAGGAAGGCGGUGAGGUUAAUAACCUCAUCGAUUGACGUUACCCGCAGAAGAAGCACCGGCUAACUCCGUGCCAGCAGCCGCGGUAAUACGGAGGGUGCAAGCGUUAAUCGGAAUUACUGGGCGUAAAGCGCACGCAGGCGGUCUGUCAAGUCGGAUGUGAAAUCCCCGGGCUCAACCUGGGAACUGCAUUCGAAACUGGCAGGCUAGAGUCUUGUAGAGGGGGGUAGAAAUCCAGGUGUAGCGGUGAAAUGCGUAGAGAUCUGGAGGAAUACCGGUGGCGAAGGCGGCCCCCUGGACAAAGACUGACGCUCAGGUGCGAAAGCGUGGGGAGCAAACAGGAUUAGAUACCCGGGUAGUC
rnacentral:rRNA from 1 species